ACUCCCUCUUAUCAAUGUUUCAGUAGGCCUUCUCCCUCUUAUCAAUGUUUCAGUAGGCCUUCUCCCUCUUAUCAAUGUUCUUGAAGUUUAACACUUCCUCAUUUGCCACACACACUCAAGUACUGAAAGCUUCAGGCGUUCUCAAUGAGUGUUUUUCUGAUUGGAGUGUUGACUAUAAGGAAAAUAGAACUGUAUCCAUGGAGACAACGAGCUUUUUAAACCUGUCCAAUGUUAUGACUUCUACAGAAUACAUUAACAACCGAUCAGCCAGGCCUGAGGUCAUGUCAGAUAUAAUACAAGGUAUUAGAUGUAGCCUAGGAUACUGAUCCAUGUUCUUCAACAUCAACUAGUCACAAACUGCUAAUAGAAUUGGGAUACUUUUCUGAACUUAACCUGAAAAACUAAAAUAGUAACGUUAGGUAAAUGGAAUGGAUUUCCUGUUUUUGAUUAAAAUCAUUGUGGGAAGUUAGCUAACUAGUUGAUUCAAGAUACAAUCAGGCGUGGCAUUGUAAACAUUUAGUUUGGUUGGCUGGCUAGCUAGCGUUAGCAUAACUAGCUAACUGCUUUUGUACAAAUGAUGUUCUUGCUGUUACCUAAAGAAACGCCUGGGAAUGUGUUUAUGGUUGAACUUCAUGUCAGUUUUCCAGUUAGUGCACCACAAGAGGCCGACAGCGCUACUGAGACCGAGGUCACACGGACUGAGAGGGUGACCGGGCACAGAGCGUGUUGUGUGUUGCGGUUAAAACGGUCCGUGUGGAAACGGGCGCUCAAAAAGGGUCCGUGUGAUGAAGAAAUGGAGACAUGAUUAACGGUGUCCAAUUUUGUUUUUAAGGAAUUACAAAUGUCACGCGUUAUUAACGAGUUAACUUUGACAGCCCCAAGUUUUAAAACAUAAUGGGUUUCAUUUUCAAAUAGAAAAAGGUAGGGAAAUAUAUUAAGUGAUUUGAAGUUUGAAAUUAGUUUGGCUCAAUUUCAAGGACAAAACAAAUUUCAAGUUUUAUGUGUUUAACGUUUUUGGAAACGUUAGACUUUUUUGAUAACCUGGGAAAGUGGAGAGAGAAAUCCGGCCUUAGCUUUGGCACAUUUUGGGAGAGUGUUAUUUUAUUUGUACUACGGUGUUUUUCACCAAAGUUGACUGGUUUGAUAUUCUUUAUGUUGACUGCAUAUAUUUUCUAAACACAACCCUCCCCUUUUUUUCACUUUUAUAUAUUUGAUAUUUACAAAGGUUUUUGUAUGAAUUGGUUGUAUUUUGCUUGUGUGUAGUCACUAGCUGCUAAUGCUUUACCAACGAUAUUACAAACACACUGAAUAAUAAUAGAUAUGGUGUUGUGCCCAAGAGCAGCUGGUUAAGAACAAAAGUGGGAUGUUUUCAGAUUCUUGUGUUUUAACUUUUUAAUCUAGGAGACAUUUAUUUACAAGAAGAAUUGACAUGGUACUGAAGGAGCAGCUUUGAAAACCAAUAUAUUUUAAAAGCUUGAAGGACUUUUUUUUUUUAUGAUUCAAAACAUGUUUAUUUAUGGCUUCCUGCAUGAUGCUGUUUUUAUUUUUUAUACCCAGAUGUUUUUUUCUUUUCUAAAUGAUUUGUCUGUCUGACAUAUUGAAUAACCUGUUUUGAUGGGAAUAGGAAGCAUGAUGGAACUACUUGUUGAGUGGUUUAAUCUUGUAUCCGUCUGCGUCCCAAAUGGGACCCCCCCCACCACCACCACCAUAUAGUGCACUAUAUGAGCCCUGGUCAAAAGUAUUAGCAUUCCAUUUGGGACGUAGACUUUGACCCCUAUUCACACUGCCUAGGCAGUAGAGUAAUGUCCAAUACAUGUCAUGUUUCUGUUCAAUAAAUAAACUGAAAAUACUUCC